rnacentral:rRNA from 1 species
UACGGGGGGGGCAAGCGUUGUUCGGAAUUACUGGGCGUAAAGGGCUCGUAGGCGGCCAACUAAGUCGGAUGUGAAAUCCCCCGGCUCAACUGGGGAGGGUCACGCGAUACUGAUCGACUCGAAGGCAGGAGAGGGUAGUGGAAUUCCCGGUGUAGUGGUGAAAUGCGUAGAUAUCGGGAGGAACACCAGUGGCGAAGGCGACUACCUGGCCUGUUCUUGACGCUGAGGCGCGAAAGCUAGGGGAGCAAACGGG